rnacentral:rRNA from 1 species
UACGUAGGGGGCUAGCGUUGUCCGGAAUCAUUGGGCGUAAAGCGCGUGUAGGCGGCCCGGUAAGUCCGCUGUGAAAGUCGGGGGCUCAACCCUCGGAUGCCGGUGGAUACUGUCGGGCUUGAGUACGGAAGAGGCGAGUGGAAUUCCCGGUGUAGCGGUGAAAUGCGCAGAUAUCGGGAGGAACACCAAUGGCGAAGGCAGCUCGCUGGGACGGUACUGACGCUGAGGCGCGAAAGCGUGGGGAGCAAACAGG